ACCUGAAAACAUGAACUUGCAAAUUUAGAGCUACAUGCAAGUUUCACCAUCCUAGAGACAAAGCAUCGAUAGCUGGGAGAGUUUCCUUAAAUAUUUUGGGCUACCCUCUUCGCCCGGACGAGACUGAGUGUGCUUAUUAUCUAAGAACUGGACAAUGCAAGUUUGGGAGCACUUGUAAAUUGCACCAUCCUCAACCAACUAAUAUGAUGGUUUCAUUGAGUGGCU